UGGGGAAUAUUGCGCAAUGGGGGAAACCCUGACGCAGCGACGCCGCGUGUGGGAUGAAGGUCUUCGGAUUGUAAACCACUGUCGCGAGGGACGAAGCUCUGACGGUACCUCGAAAGGAAGCACCGGCUAACUCUGUGCCAGCAGCCGCGGUAAUACAGAGGGUGCGAGCGUUGUCCGGAAUCACUGGGCGUAAAGGGCGCGUAGGCGGCCCGGUAAGUAGGGGGUGAAAUCUCAUGGCUCAACUGUGAGGCUGCCUUCUAGACUGCCAGGCUUGAGCACAGUAGAGGCGAGUGGAAUUCCCGGUGUAGCGGUGGAAUGCGUAGAGAUCGGGAAGAACAUCGGUGGCGAAGGCGGCUCGCUGGGCUGUUGCUGACGCUCAUGCACGAAAGCGUGGGGAGCAAACAGGAUUAGAUACCCGCGUAGUCCCUGAGCGGGCUGGCAAGGCG
rnacentral:rRNA from 1 species